rnacentral:lncRNA from 1 species
ACACAUCCUAAUCAAUUAAUAAAAAAACCAACAAAAAAAAUCUAAAGAAAAGAAGAAACAGAUGGGCCAAGAAAUGGUGAUUCUGGCCCAAUGGAUGAAUUGAGGGAGGUCCCAAUCGCAAGGGGGUAUGAACCCGACCUAGGGAGUAUGAGGCCAGAAUUCGUUUCGGCUUAAACUGGAGUGAACAGGCCCAGUCUGUUUGGAUAUGAGGGAAUAUGAAGGCUCGUCUUCUUCCUAUUUCUCAUGCUCAGCAUCUCACCACCCAGAAAAGGAAAACCCAGGUUUUGACGGCGAACCUAGCCGCACCGGAUUUUGUCACCGAUGGCAGCGAUGAAAAAUGAUGAAACACACUCGAGCCAGUUUUGACGGCGAACCUAGCCGCACCGGAUUUUGUCACCGAUGGCAGCGAUGAAAAAUGAUGAAACACACUCGAGCCACUCUCCGCCUCCAUCUAUUCUAAUCGAAACAAGAAACAACAAACUCCACCUAACAAAUCAAAGCUACCGCGAUACCUCGACAGAACAAAAUAGACAUUGAAUCAAUAAACGGAAUGAAGCUUCGACUUUGAUUCGUAUUACAAUAGAUGAAUCAGAAAUGUGAAAUGAAUAUAGAGCCUACCGGUGAUGACAGAUGAGGAUUCGUCGACGAUUUCUAAUUCGAAACUCGGGUAACUCGGAACUCUAUCCGAUUCUUCGUUCUUCUUCUUUCUUCUUCUUCUACACAAUAUUUCUUCUUUUGCUUGAAUCCCUUAGUCUGUAGGAUGACGUCUGAUGAUGUUGUGUGUUGUCCUUGUUGAUCUGAAUAUGUGAGAGUGAUUAUGGAGAGGUUGUGAGUGUUUAUGUUUGAGAGAGAGGGAACUCUGAUUGAGAUUGUGAAAUGUGAAACUGAGAGUGGAUCGAUGAUGAAUGAAGAUGAAGAACGAUGAUGAAUUAUGGAGAAUGAUGAUGAUUGUGAGUUGAAGGUGACGAUGAAUCGUGGAGAACGAUGAUGAUGAAUUGUGAGUUGAAGGUGAUGAUUGAAUCUCUGUUAAGAAAAAAUGAUUUGAGAGAGAGCAAUAAUUGAAGAAUUAGGAAUUUAUAGAGAUGGGGUUUAUAACAAACUCGGGUAGCUUGGGCAAUUACAGCUAGGUGUUAGGGAAGUUUAAAUUCUGUUAAGAUCUGGAUUUCAAUUAUGUUAGAAGGGGCUUGGGUUGAAAUUUCUGUUAAUAAUGAGAUUUUGUUAGAUGCUCUUGUUAGUGGUAUUACCUUUAUUAUGGCUUAUGUUAGUACCGUUUAAAUGCAAAGUCUGUUAAAUGGAAUAUUAGUAAUAAGCUGGUGAAUUGUUAUUCUUUAUGAAUGAGUUGUGUUUUUUCAAUUUUGGUUAAAUGACAUGUUAAAUGGAAAUUUGUGUUCAACUGAAUUUAUGGGAUCAAAAUUGUCUCAACUCUAUUUCUUCUUAAACCUCCUUAUUAAGUGAUUCUAAUGGUAAAUUCAAGACCAUUAAGCUAUGGGUAAACUUAACGUCAAUAAAACCAGAGUGGUCACCGCGCUUUUAUUAUUUCUAAGGGAAAAGGGAAAAGUAAGAACAAAACCCAAAGAUCAGAAGUUUUCAAAUCAAAACUAAUAAAAUGC